rnacentral:rRNA from 1 species
UCCUACGGGAGGCAGCAGUGGGGAAUAUUGGACAAUGGGCGCAAGCCUGAUCCAGCCAUGCCGCGUGGGUGAUGAAGGCCCUAGGGUUGUAAAGCCCUUUCGGCGGGGAAGAUAAUGACGGUACCCGCAGAAGAAGCCCCGGCUAACUUCGUGCCAGCAGCCGCGGUAAUACGAAGGGGGCUAGCGUUGCUCGGAAUCACUGGGCGUAAAGCGCACGUAGGCGGAUUGUUAAGUCAGGGGUGAAAUCCUGGAGCUCAACUCCAGAACUGCCUCUGAUACUGGCAAUCUCGAGUCCGGGAGAGGUGAGUGGAACUGCGAGUGUAGAGGUGAAAUUCGUAGAUAUUCGCAAAAACACCAGUGGCGAAGGCGGCUCACUGGCCCGGUACUGACGCUGAGGCACAAAAGCAUGGGGAGCAAGCAGGAUUAGAUACCCCGGUAGUCCAAGCCG